GCAGUCGUGGCCGAGUGGUUAAGGCGAUGGACUAAAAAUCCAAAGGGGUCUUCCCGCGCACAGGUUUAAAUCCUGUGGACUGUG